rnacentral:rRNA from 1 species
UACGGAGGGGGCUAGCGUUGUUCGGAAUUACUGGGCGUAAAGCGCGCGUAGGCGGGCCUGCAAGUCGGGGGUGAAAGCCCGAGGCUCAACCUCGGAACUGCCUUCGAUACUGCGGGUCUCGAGUCCGGGAGAGGUGAGUGGAAUUCCUAGUGUAGAGGUGAAAUUCGUAGAUAUUAGGAAGAACACCAGUGGCGAAGGCGGCUCACUGGCCCGGUACUGACGCUGAGGCGCGAAAGCGUGGGGAGCAAACAGGG